ncrna:unclassified sequences emrB-Lactobacillus RNA
UACUCAGCAUAUUUGAUAGUAUGCGGUUGAAUAUAGUUAGCAUUAGCUAAUUAAAGAAAGAGUAG